rnacentral:lncRNA from 1 species
UCUCACGCAAUGCAUGCUGGGAUAUACAGUAGGGUCCACGCUACAGCCCCAUGAGACCUGGUUCAGGAAGGUGUUGGAUUCCCCUCCCCUUUAAACAGUCCCAGAAGACGCCGUAUGAUUAUUGCCAAGAUGAGGCUGUCACACCGGUAAUCCUCCCCUCGGCUCCAUCGGAAGGAUUGUUCCUGUGGAUGUCAAGAUUUCCUCCUGGCUGGCGGUCUGACCCAGGUCCUCCUCCUGUGACCCUGUGGAUGAUUGCUGUGACUGAGACGUGUUUGAUCCCUGCGCUGAUGCUGGGCUUUUGAUGGCCACCCCACUUUGAUGCCGCAACAAGAUUGAAUCCAACCACCCUCUGUGACACACAUAGACACCGUCCAAAUAGCACCAUCAGACCUCGUAUCUAAACAGGAG